ensembl:lncRNA
AAGAGAGUGAGGGGGCCGAGUGGAGACGGCGUGCCGGCUCCAGCAGCACACCCUGGGCCUGCUGCUGCGCGGAGCUCCAAGCAAAGAGGUGAGAAGGUGCUGUGGUACCGCCGUGCUGAGGCAUUUCCCUGUGCGAGCACACUGAGUUUGCUUAGGGUUGGCUUUGCUUUUUCCUACUCCAUGGAGGGAAAAAGAGUGGAAGGCAACAAAGUCCAAAGGCAGUGAGGUGCCAGAAUGUGUAACCCUGUCUCUUCUCGUUAACUUCAUGGUGGUCUUCUGCACGUUCCCCUGGAAAUGUCAUUCACUGGG